rnacentral:rRNA from 1 species
AGAGUUUGAUCAUGGCUCAGAAUCAACGCUGGCGGCGUGCCUAACACAUGCAAGUCGAACGCGAAAGCCCCGCAAGGGGCAAGUAGAGUGGCAAACGGGUGAGUAACACGUGGGUGACCUGCCUUCGAGCGGGGGAUAACGUCCCGAAAGGGACGCUAAUACCGCAUAACAUCCUGCCUUUGAAGAGGUGGAGAUCAAAGCCGGGGAUCGCAAGACCUGGCACUUGAAGAGGGGCCCGCGCCUGAUUAGCUAGUUGGUGGGGUAAUGGCCUACCAAGGCAACGAUCAGUAUCCGGCCUGAGAGGGCGGACGGACACACUGGGACUGAGACACGGCCCAGACUCCUACGGGAGGCAGCAGUGGGGAAUUGUUCGCAAUGGGCGCAAGCCUGACGACGCAACGCCGCGUGGAGGAUGAAGAUCUUCGGGUCGUAAACUCCUGUCGAAUGGGACGAAUAGGUUGCGGAUUAACAGUCCGCGAUCCUGACGGUACCGUUAAAGGAAACCCCGGCUAACUCCGUGCCAGCAGCCGCGGUAAUACGGGGGGGGUAAGCGUUGUUCGGAAUUACUGGGCGUAAAGGGCUCGUAGGCGGCCAACUAAGUCACACGUGAAAUCCCUCAGCUUAACUGGGGAACUGCGUGUGAUACUGGAUGGCUUGGAUCCGGGAGAGGGAUGCGGAAUUCCAGGUGUAGCGGUGAAAUGCGUAGAUAUCUGGAGGAACACCGGUGGCGAAGGCGGCAUCCUGGACCGGUAUUGACGCUGAGGAGCGAAAGCCAGGGGAGCAAACGGGAUUAGAUACCC